GUGCUUGCUUUGGCAGCAUAUAUAAUAAAAUUGGAAUGAUAAAGAUUAGCAUGGCCUCAGCACAAAGAUGACACACAAAUUCAUGAGACAUUCCAUAUUAAA
ensembl:snRNA U6 U6 spliceosomal RNA